rnacentral:tmRNA from 1 species
GGGGCCGUAACGGUUUCGACAGGUUAGCGAAAGCUCCCCCGUGAUACAGGUCGAGAGUGAGUCUCCUCUCGUAAAUCAAAGGCUCAAACAAAAAGUAAAUGCGAACAACAUCGUUCCUUUCGCUCGUAAAGCCGCUCCUGUAGCUGCCUAAUAGUCUCUAAUCGACUCGAGCAUUCAUAGUUUGACUCCGUUAAGGACUAUGGAU